CCCCUUUCAUUCAAUACUCGGUGCUAGCGACGCUCCCUCUCCACGACAUGCUGUUUGCAAAUACUUUUCUCUAAGUGCAGAAAGGCUGGAGAAAGGAUAUGAUCAUACGGAUGGAUAUGGGAUUUCACUCCCUGCUUCUGAGGAAAAGAACCAGAGGUGUGACUGUAACUGAGGUAACAGCAAACGGCAGCUGAAGAUCCAGCCUUCGGUGGAGGGAAUUUCAUCUCUGAGAAACUACAUGAAGAGAGCAGGUAUCCCAGUAGGUGCAGGAGAUUGUUGUUCCCAUUUCACAGCCAUGGAAAUGCAAAUUAAAGUUAAGGUGUGUGCUUGAA